rnacentral:rRNA from 1 species
GAUGAACGCUGACAGAAUGCUUAACACAUGCAAGUCGAUGGGGAAGUGGUGCUUGCACCAUGGCAACCAUGGCGGACGGGUGAGUAACGCGUAAGGGACUUACCUGCAGGACUGGGAUAACAGGGGGAAACUCCUGACAAGACCGGAUAAUGUCAUGGAGCUGCAUGGCUUUAUGAUGAAAGGAGACGCCUGCGGAGAGCCUUGCGUCCUAUUAGCUAGUUGGUGAGGUAAUGGCUCACCAAGGCGAAGAUAGGUAGCCGGCCUGAGAGGGUGGACGGCCACAAGGGGACUGAGAUACGGCCCUUACUCCUACGGGAGGCAGCAGUGGAGAAUACUGGACAAAGGGAGCAACGCUGAUCCAGCAAUUCUGUGUGCACGAAGAAGGUUUUCGGAUUGUAAAGUACUUUCAGCAGGGAAGAAGUAAGUGACGGUACCUGCAGAAGAAGCGACGGCUAAAUACGUG